CUUUCACAUAAAAAACACAUACUCAACACGUAUAUUAUACAACUCACGGACACAUCUACUGUCUACACAUACCCACUACUUCUAACAAACCCACACGAGCAGCUCCUUUUCCAGCCACCUCUGGCCGUUGUCCGCCACCUCUCCGGCGACGCCUUGGCUUCCAGCAACCCCUCUUCCUCUCCCUUCACAUGGUUUCUUCAUCCUCAUCUUUUCUAACCUCCAUUUAGGGAUUUCAAGAUUGAAGCUUUAAGGAGCGGCGCAUCCGAGGCUCGAGGAUGGACAACCAAACCAAGCUUGAAGAGAUUAUUUUUGGAUUGCAGCUUUCGAGGUUAAGGAGUAGGUGACGGGGCAGCAGUCAACGUGGUCCACGGUCUCCCAGCUACUUUUUUUUUUUUACUAGUAGACCCUUAGGUAUUUUGGGUAAAAUUGAAUUGUUUGGAGAAAAAUCUCUGUAACUUUUAUGCUAUUAUAUUUUGAAUGAUGUAGGUUGUAAUCGAUUAAGCAGGGUAUUUUAUUUUGGUUGGAAUACUAGAUGAAGUAUAUAUAUUUUUAACAUAGUGAUA